AUUUUUCCAAUAAACAAAGAAUCAGCAUCACUUAGACCAGUUGAAAACGCGGAACUAGAAUACCGUUGAUCAAGAAUACUAGAUGUUUCAGAUACACACGCCUCAAUAAUCCUAGAGGUUAACCUCGGCUGCCAAAAUAAAAAGCUUACCUCAAACAUCAAUCUAUCUUAAAUAAUGAUUUUACAAGGAUUUUUAAAAGGGGUUUAAAAACGUUAAUAAUGAUUUUACAAGAUUUUUUAAAAGGAUUAUUACCUGAGUAGUAGAUGCAGAAUGAGAAGCAAAAGGAUUUGAAGUCGUCUCAGCCUGUAGUAAACUCAAUCACUGACUUAAUAAUGAUUUUACAAGGAUUUUUAAAAGGGGUUUAAAAACGUUAAUAAUGAUUUUACAAGGAUUUUUAAAAGGGGUUUAAAAACGUUAAUAAUGAUUUUACAAGGAUUUUUAAAACGAUUAGUACCUGAGCAUUAGGGACAGAAUGAGAAACAAAAGGAUUUGAAGUAGUCUCAGCCUGUAAUAAGCACAAUCACUGACUUAAUAAUGAUUUUAAAAGGAUUUUUAAAAUUAUAACACAAGAAGGUUAUUGAAAAACCUGCUCAACUAUCACAGAAAUUUGCUCUACAGUCAAACAUAAUUGAAGCAAUCCUCCACUCUGUGAGAAUUUGUGCAUAAAAGUUGCAAGCUGUCUAUCGUUCCUAAUAUAAAGAGGAUGAGAUUGUAUGGUUGUAGACGUGGAGACUAACUUGUAACUAAGCUUCAAAGAAUUGGUUGAACUAUCUAUUUGAAAAUCCUCUACAAGAAUAUCAACCAACGCGUGAUAGGUAAUGUGCUCAUCAAUGAGCACUAAAGAAGCUCCCAAUUCAAUGUCUAAUUCAAAUUCCCAAGUCAUAUUGUUUGUCAACUUCCACAAGCCACAAACAGAAUACAAUUCUAGCAUUAUAACCUGAUAAGAUAAAUAACAACAAAAUCAACACCCACAAAAACAUUUUCACUACAGAGAGAAGCAAGGUUUACAAAUCGUUUUAUAGAGUAAGUAAGUAGCAUAGAAUAAUUUACAAGGGAUUUUAAAAGCUUUGAAAAGUGGUUAACAUGGUUUACAAAUCGUUUUAAAGAGUAAGUAAGUAGCAUAGAAUAAUUUACAAGGGAUUUUAAAAGCUUUGAAAAGUGGUUAACAUGGUUUACAAAUCGUUUUAAAGCGUAAGUAAGUAGCAUAGAAUAAUUUACAAGGGAUUUUAAAAGCUUUGAAAAGUGGUUAACAUGGUUUACAAAUCGUUUUAAAGCGUAAGUAAGUAGCAUAGAAUAAUUUACAAAGGAUUUUAAAAGCUUUGAAAAGUGGUUAACAUGGUUUACAAAUCGUUUUAAAGCGUAAGUGGCAUAGAUCUAUCACGAAAGCAUAUGCAAAAGAGGUAAACACUAAAUCAGAACCAAAAUCUAUUACGAAAUAGUAUAAG
rnacentral:sRNA from 1 species